CACGUAGGGCGCAAGCGUUGUCCGGAAUUAUUGGGCGUAAAGAGCUCGUAGGUGGUUUGUUACGUCCGCUGUGAAAUCCUAGGGCUUAACCCUGGGCUUGCAGUGGGUACGGGCAGACUAGAGUGCGGUAGGGGUGACUGGAAUUCCUGGUGUAGCGGUGGAAUGCGCAGAUAUCAGGAGGAACACCGAUGGCGAAGGCAGGUCACUGGGCCGCAACUGACGCUGAGGAGCGAAAGCAUGGGGAGCGAACAGG
rnacentral:rRNA from 1 species